GACGAACGCUGGCGGCGUGCUUAACACAUGCAAGUCGAACGGAAAGGCCCUGCUUUUGUGGGGUGCUCGAGUGGCGAACGGGUGAGUAACACGUGAGUAACCUGCCCUUGACUUUGGGAUAACUUCAGGAAACUGGGGCUAAUACCGGAUAGGAGCUCCUGCUGCAUGGUGGGGGUUGGAAAGUUUCGGCGGUUGGGGAUGGACUGGCGGCUUAUCAGCUUGUUGGUGGGGUAGUGGCUUACCAAGGCUUUGACGGGUAGCCGGCCUGAGAGGGUGACCGGCCACAUUGGGACUGAGAUACGGCCCAGACUCCUACGGGAGGCAGCAGUGGGGAAUAGUGCACAAUGGGCGGAAGCCUGAUGCAGCAACGCCGCGUGCGGGAUGACGGCCUUCGGGUUGUAAACCGCUUUCGCCUGUGACGAAGCGUGAGUGACGGUAAUGGGUAAAGAAGCACCGGCUAACUACGUG
rnacentral:rRNA from 1 species